GCGCCUGUAGCUCAGGGGAUAGAGCACCGCUCUCCUAAAGCGGGUGUCGCCAGUUCGAAUCUGGCCAGGCGCACCG
rnacentral:tRNA from 10 species